GGCGGACAGCUGUCGGCGGGAAGCGGCGAUUCUGCCCAGCGGAGGGCUGGGGAAAGCUCGGGAAGAUUCUAGCUACAUUGAAGACUGGUUGUUUUCUAAAACUAGAGAAGUCCAUAAAGUGAUGGUGACUUCUUUUUGAGGUUCGAGUACUAGAAUAAAAGAGAGAGUUUGAGUGCAUGACCUUGAAGACUCAAGAGAGCUGAGAUAGGAAGAUUUUGAAGUUGUUCUACAUUUGAAGCCAUGAUUUAAAUAUUGGCAUUGCGGUGCUGCCUUGAAGAGACGAAUGUUCAUCUCUACGCGUGGCUGAUGCUGGGAACUGGUCGGCUUUCUGUGGAGGCUGUGAGAGUCACUCUUCCAAGGAGUGUGCGCACCAGCUUAGGCUGCGUUUGGCUCACCUUCAGUCAGAGCUCUUUUGUUUUAAAAGCUAACUGCUGGAGGAUAAAGACUCUGAACCCUGAUCAUAAAUAUUUGUCUGGUGGUUUUCACUGACCAAGAUCAUUUGGCAGAAAGCAUCAUUAAAGUUUGACAGCCCCACCAGAUUAUACAAAAUCCAUUGUUUUUUUUGCAGACAGGUUAUCAUAUAGUCCAUUUGAAAACAUUUCUUC